AAUAAGUCUAAUUGCCUGUCACGAUAAAAAUGAAAACGCGUGCGUACGAUUCGAUGGUUCAAAUACAAUAGUUCUUUAUUUUACUUAAUCUAAUUGCUAAGCCUAACUUAAAACUAACGGCUUAGAGUAGUGGUAAUAUAAAUAUGUAUUAAAAGGGGUAAAUAUAAUUAUCUUCAACUUUUCGUUCAAUAUUGUAAUAGAUUAUGGUAAGUAUUAAGGUAAGUAGUAGAUUAGUAGUACGAAUGCAUAAUUAAGGUAAGUAUACAAUAAUUUAAAAAAUUCAAUAUUUUAUAAUUUUUUUAUAAUUCAUUUUUCUUAAUUUUAAUUUCAGGUUUAAAUAUACAUAUAUAUCUUGUCGCUUGACGCAACAGAGGCGUUCUCAAGAUUUUGGAGUUCCUCCGAAAAGGAUUCUCUGGUGUACAUCCCAAACUGUUCUCAGAGGCCAUGACUCUGCCAGAGAAUAGUUGGGAACAUCUGUCAGUGGGUACGUUCAGUCUUUGCCCUAACAAACCUUACUUAUAUUUUGAUGGUUGGCAAUGCCGUAACCAAAGCAAAAUGAAGAAAGGAGAAAAAGGAGAAACAAAACAAAAAACAGCUGACAGACUAAAUCAAAACGGCAAAAAAGAAUUGAGUGCACGUUUUGAUUCGCUGUUACCUGGGGAAAUUCCUAUUUAGUUUUUAUUUUGUUUUAUAUAAAUUUGCCAAAAAGGGGCAGCCUCCAAUCAGAUUAAAAGUGCAGUUCCAGUCUCCCGAUACCCUAGACCAGGGAUGGGCACAUUAGCCCUCAGUGGCAUUUUGCCCGUGCGGGCACGAGUGCACAUUUUGAGGGCUAGGUGAGGGGAUCAUCGCGGGCAAACAUGAAGAGGGAAGUGAGAGCAACGUUUUACCACUCCAUAUUUACAAAUGAGAGCAACGUAUUUUCCCACAGCAUGUUUACAAAUGAGCGA